GGCCCUGUAGCUCAGUUGGUUAGAGCGCCGCCCUGUCACGGCGGAGGUCGCCAGUUCAAGUCUGGUCAGGGUCG
rnacentral:tRNA from 1 species